UAGCAAGUUACACAGGGUCUUGGGUGUUACACGGGGUCUAGUACAUGACCCAUGUACUGAAGUCCUUCCAUCUCCUUCAAGUUCCCUUGGGCAAGAGGUUACACGAGUCAUUAUUUCUAGCUUACACUACCUGUGUACUAUUAUGCAAUAAGCUUUCUUGACUCUCCUAACUUCUCAAACUAUUUAAUCGACUUCUAUGCUUUGGAUCUCUAUUAAAA
rnacentral:misc_RNA from 1 species